AUUUUUGUUUUUGAUUAAAUUUUUUUAAUGGCAUUGUCAUGUAAUUAAUUACAAAAAUUAAGGUUACAUUUAAAAUGUACUUCCCAAAUAAUAUAGUAGGAUAUGAUAUUCUAUA
rnacentral:sRNA from 1 species